CCUACGGGAGGCAGCAGUGGGGAAUAUUGGACAAUGGGCGAAAGCCCGAUCCAGCAAUGCCGCGUGAGUGAUGAAGGCCUUCGGGUCGUAAAGCUCUUUUACCAGGGAUGAUAAUGACAGUACCUGGAGAAUAAGCUCCGGCUAACUCCGUGCCAGCAGCCGCGGUAAUACGGAGGGAGCUAGCGUUGUUCGGAAUUACUGGGCGUAAAGAGUACGUAGGCGGUUAUUCAAGUCAGAGGUGAAAGCCCGGGGCUCAACCCCGGAACUGCCUUUGAAACUAGAUAACUAGAGUCUUGGAGAGGUUAGUGGAAUUCCGAGUGUAGAGGUGAAAUUCGUAGAUAUUCGGAAGAACACCAGUGGCGAAGGCGACUAACUGGACAAGUACUGACGCUGAGGUACGAAAGCGUGGGGAGCAAACAGGAUUAGAUACCCUGGUAGUCCACGCCGUAAACGAUGAUAACUAGUUGUUCGGUCACUUGGUGACUGAGUGACGCAGCUAACGCAUUAAGUUAUCCGCCUGGGGAGUACGGUCGCAAGAUUAAAACUCAAAGGAAUUGACGG
rnacentral:rRNA from 1 species